CUCCUGGCAAUCUUGCCACCCAGAGAAAGGGAGCAGGAGGAAGGUCAAAUGGCCACCCAAAGCUACACAGCAGCGCUGCAGAAGUUUCCAGAAUUAGUACCCACCAGGCCCAGUUCAGGCUGGGCAAUCACCCUCCUUCCAGGAAGAAGUUGCAAGCCCCUUGGCCAGACAUUCAGGACUUGCCAGCCUCGCGGCCCAGCCCCAUCUCUCUAUUUUCAUUUGUUAUCAGUACUGGCCAUAUCUCUUCAUUCAGAGAAGCAAAAUCAUAAGGAGCGAGAGAGACUCAGGAUGUGUUACCGGGAGUUGACGUUACGCAAUUAAAGGAGCUUAAAACAGCUGCAUCAACAGUUUCUGCACAGCUGUGACUUCUGCAUCUAGUGUUUGGUCUGCGGCCAGGAGGGCAGGCAAUUGGGAAGGAAAAUGGACACAAGCAGAGGAGAGCCAAGGCAAGCUGGAACUCAUGAGAAGAAACUGAAACUCAUAGUCAUCUCUCAUUGUGUUCGAACUGUGGCUUCCACCAUGGGGUUGACCUGCAGGAGGAACUGGAGUCUUAGCAGGAUAAAGUUGCCAAGAGAUGAAGAAACCGAAGGAGAGGAUCCCGUGGAAGCUGCCACAUCAUGCCAAGAAAGGUCCCUUCACAAAUUCAUCAGACUGCAAGUGCCACAUGGGCAAGGAUUGGCUGAGUAUCCUCUGCUGUUGCAGCCCCAGCCUAGUGCAGUGCCUGGACCAUGGUAGGCACCAGACAUUUGCUGAAUAAAUGGCCUGAGAGGGAGGUCUGAGUCGCUGAGCUGGGACCUUCAAAUGUCUUAGCUUCCGUUUUCCCCCUCCUCUUUGUGAGACAGGAAGUCUGGAGAAGGCCGGAUAAUCUCAUCACCUUUCCUCCAGAUCAGAUAAGACUCUGGAAAAGUAGUUUCCCUUGAAGGCAAG
rnacentral:lncRNA from 13 species